ensembl:ncRNA C03A3.7 ncRNA
CUCUGUUCAUCAUUUUCCGCGUACUUUUGGGUGAUCUGUGUACUCCGCCCUUGCGUCCGUCGGGUCCGUGUGUGUGUGUGCGUCUGUGUGUGGUGUACCAAUACGCAUUCACGACUAAACUAUUUGAUCGCUUUUCCUAUAAGUGCGAGUUUGAGACUGUGUGUUGUGUUACUCUAUUUGCAUGUGUUCAGUAGUUUGGU